UUUGUACACACCGCCCGUCACACCAUGGGAGUUGAUCUCACCAGAAGUGGUUAGCCUAACGCAAGAGGGCGAUCACCACGGUGGGGUCGAUGACUGGGGUGAAGUCGUAACAAGGUAGCCGUAGGGGAACCUGCGGCUGGAUCACCUCCUUA
rnacentral:rRNA from 1 species